GCACGAGUGGCGGAAUUGGCAGACGCACCGGAUUUAGGUUCCGGUUCCCGAGAGGGAGUGAAGGUUCAAGUCCUUUCUCGUGCA
rnacentral:tRNA from 1 species